GUAGAUUAUAUUCUACAGUAGAAUCAGGGGCCAGGUAGAUUAUAUUCUACAGUAGAAUUAGGGGCCAGGUAGAUUAUAUUCUACAGUAGAAUCAGGGGCCAGGUAGAUUAUAUUCUACAGUAGAAUCAGGGGCCAGGUAGAUUAUAUUCUACAGUAGAAUCAGGGGCCAGGUAGAUUAUAUUCUACAGUAGAAUCAGGGGCCAGGUAGAUUAUAUUCUACAGUAGAAUUAGGGGCCAGGUAGAUUCUAUACUGCAGUAGAAUCAGGGGCCAGGUAGAUUAUAUUCUACAGUAGAAUCAGGGGCCAGGUAGAUUCUAUACUGCAGUAGAAUCAGGGGCCAGGUAGAUUCUAUACUGCAGUAGAAUCAGGGGCCAGGUAGAUUCUAUACUGCAGUAGAAUCAGGGACCAGGUAGAUUCUAUACUGCAGUAGAAUCAGGGGCCAGGUAGAUUAUAUUCUACAGUAGAAUCAGGGACCAGGUAGAUUCUAUACUGCAGUAGAAUCAGGGGCCAGGUAGAUUCUAUACUGCAGUAGAAUCAGGGGCCAGGUAGAUUCUAUACUGCAGUAGAAUCAGGGGCCAGGUAGAUUCUAUACUGCAGUAGAAUCAGGG